GCCGGCCGCCCGCCGCCGGGCAGAGCCGGCCGCCCGCCGCCCCACGCACCGCUGUCCAGCCGGGCGAUCUGGGGGAGCCGGGUGCGAGCAACGCCUGCGCAGCUGCCGCUCCUCCCCGCGCCGAAAAGGAAAAGUGCCGGGCUGCCCGGCGGGGAGCGCCGCCGCCGAGCCUGUCCCUCUCACUCCACCCUCCGACCGCUCGCCCGACGUGCAGCCCGCCCGGGAGAGCCGCGGGCGGCCCCGCAGGUUGCUAGACUGCAGAAACUCCUGGAAAUUAAACCAGAAAAUCCUACUCCGGGGUGGUUGCAUUGUACCGUGCUUAAGUUUAUUUUGUUCACUUCUGCGUCAAAACCCUUUCUUUUAUUGCAGUAAACCUGGCUGCAUUUUAGGCUGUAGUGUUGACUAGAAACAUAGAAGUGCCUUUCAGUGAUUUGUGAAACAACUGAAAACAUCCACCGCCAGCAUCUCCCUCCAGGUGCCAUCUUUUCUGGUGUCUUUCCUUGCGCUGGCUGGGGAUGGCAGAGCCGGGCUACAAGGAGAUCUCCUGCUCCUCUCGCCCUUCCUCACCGGCCUGGUGCAGGGCCGUUCUGCGCUGCGUGCCUUGGAACGGCUGGUGCCAGCAGCACCGCCAGGACGGGGACAGCUGAGACAGACACGCUCUUGUUCUGCUCCGCUGCAAACAGAGACUGGGACUUCAGCCAUGCUCUCCAAGAGGAAACAAAGGCUCUGGAAGCCAGUCGGCGCAGAGGAUUACAGAAAACCCAAGUUGUCUUGCUUCAAAUGGAUCUGGGUUGGUUUGAACCUUGUCCUGAUGUGGGUCCAUUGCUUUAGCUAUGCAGUCUGGCACUGGGAUUUCCCAGCGCUAUGGCAAACCUUCCUUCUCUACAUUUCAGUCAUGCUGCCGGUAGAUCGCUCCUACCAGAAUAACUACCUUUAAAAACAAGACACUGCAUUUUUUUUCAAAAGUGUCUUCCCUUUUACAAACUUCACAAAAUGCUUUGUACAACUUAAGUGAACUAAGCUAUUGAAGUGCAAAGUAAUAUACUUGCUAAGAGCAUUAUUGUAGAAAUAUGGAAAGCAAAAGUGUGGCUUUAAGUCGUUCAUGUUUGAUGAGGUUAUUGGGUGCAGCAUAUAAGGCACAGCAGAUCAGGUCAGACUGGGAUUCACCAGGACUUCAGACACUCAUCUGUCAAGAACUGCUUCUAAAUACAAUCAUACUUAGCAUUAAUUCCAGGAUAAAUACUGUCUCGCAGCGUAUGCUUCUCUCAGACAAUAUGCACUUCUCCUGUCUGGGAAGAAAUUCAUCUUUCGCACAGAAAUAGUUACUGCUAAUUUUUCUUUAAAGAUUUUUUUCGUUCAGACAGUUUUAGAUGUGUUCUAAGUCAGUCUUCAUACAACCACGUUUGUGUUCUCUCCAACUAGUAGAAACCCAGCCCACUCUUACUGGUCCUACUGGAACAGGAUGCAUUUUAAAAAAUAUGUACCUUGGAGAUACUAUCUAAAUUUCAUUCAGUUAUUUCCAGGCAAAGAGACAUCAUAAAGCUUAUUAGUAUUUAAAUGUCUCACUGGGGCUCUCAAAGUGACUUUGUUAAUGCGUCCUAACUGUGCUAUAGCUCAACCUCCUUGUUGAAUAUGUACAAUAUAUGUAAUAUAUCCUAAUGUAACAUACACAAUAUUCAAAUCACCAGCGUAUAUGAAUCUCUGAUAUUUUCUUCCUUUAACUGCACCUUAUGUAUAAUUAAUACUUUAGAGAUAAUAAUUUCUCUGAUGUCUAGCAAUGCUUUAGUCCCUUAGGUGAUCUCUUACCCGAGUCUCUUACAAGUGCAAAAAGCUAAGAAAGCCAUCAGACCUCGAGAGGAAUCCCCGGGAGCAAACACACCACAGGACCAGGGCCUCAGUUACAAAACAUUUUAGUUUUUGCAUAUGUGCCUUUCAGGCAUCGUUCGGAGAUGGUCUUUAUGUAUCAAGAGCCACUUGUCACCGUAAAACCAUAAGCAGUGGCAGGGGGACUCCAAUUAACUCCUGAAAUUAUUCUUAAAUGCAUUUUGAAUUGACUGACUUUCACGUGGAUUUCACAACAUGUUUAUGCAGCAGGCUGUAAAAAUCCCUAGUAUGUAUUUAUUGCCAAUAAAAUGAUUUUUAAAUAUUUUGGAUCAUCAUCAGUUCCUGUCUACACUAACAUUUCAAGUGGAGCUGUUCACAACAAACUGAUUUUAGUAUGAAUCUGGUAACAUGCUCUACAAUGUAGUUAGUACGCAUACGCCAAAUAAAACUCUGAGCCUUAUACAGUAAA